UAAUACAUGCAAGUCGAGCGGACAGAAGGGAGCUUGCUCCCGGAUGUUAGCGGCGGACGGGUGAGUAACACGUGGGUAACCUGCCUGUAAGACUGGGAUAACUCCGGGAAACCGGAGCUAAUACCGGAUAGUUCCUUGAACCGCAUGGUUCAAGGAUGAAAGACGGUUUCGGCUGUCACUUACAGAUGGACCCGCGGCGCAUUAGCUAGUUGGUGAGGUAACGGCUCACCAAGGCGACGAUGCGUAGCCGACCUGAGAGGGUGAUCGGCCACACUGGGACUGAGACACGGCCCAGACUCCUACGGGAGGCAGCAGUAGGGAAUCUUCCGCAAUGGACGAAAGUCUGACGGAGCAACGCCGCGUGAGUGAUGAAGGUUUUCGGAUCGUAAAGCUCUGUUGUUAGGGAAGAACAAGUGCAAGAGUAACUGCUUGCACCUUGACGGUACCUAACCAGAAAGCCACGGCUAACUACGUGCCAGCACG
rnacentral:rRNA from 1 species